ACAGUGGGGAUUCAGUGGUAGAAUUCUUGCCUUUCAUGUGAUAGACCUGGGUUCAAUUCCAGCUAAUGCA
rnacentral:tRNA from 1 species